CGGAGAGCAGAGAGGGAGCGCGCCUUGGCUCGCUGGCCUUGGCGGCGGCUCCUCAGGAGAGCUGGGGCGCCCACGAGAGGAUCCCUCACCCGGGUCUCUCCUCAGGGAUGACAUCAUCCGUCCACCUCCUUGUCUUCAAGGACCACCUCCUCUCCAUGCUGAGCUGCUGCCAAGGGGCCUGCUGCCCAUCUACACCUCACGAGGGCACUAGGAGCACGGUUUCCUGGAUCCCACCAACAUACAAAGCAGCCACUCACUGACCCCCAGGACCAGGAUGGCAAAGGAUGAAGAGGACCGGAACUGACCAGCCAGCUGUCCCUCUUACCUAAAGACUUAAACCAAUGCCCUAGUGAGGGGGCAUUGGGCAUUAAGCCCUGACCUUUGCUAUGCUCAUACUUUGACUCUAUGAGUACUUUCCUAUAAGUCUUUGCUUGUGUUCACCUGCUAGCAAACUGGAGUGUUUCCCUCCCCAAGGGGGUGUCAGUCUUUGUCGACUGACUCUGUCAUCACCCUUAUGAUGUCCUGAAUGGAAGGAUCCCUUUGGGAAAUUCUCAGGAGGGGGACCUGGGCCAAGGGCUUGGCCAGCAUCCUGCUGGCAACUCCAAGGCCCUGGGUGGGCUUCUGGAAUGAGCAUGCUACUGAAUCACCAAAGGCACGCCCGACCUCUCUGAAGAUCUUCCUAUCCUUUUCUGGGGGAAUGGGGUCGAUGAGAGCAACCUCCUAGGGUUGUUGUGAGAAUUAAAUGAGAUAAAAGAGGCCUCAGGCAGGAUCUGGCAUAGAGGAGGUGAUCAGCAAAUGUUUGUUGAAAAGGUUUGACAGGUCAGUCCCUUCCCACCCCUCUUGCUUGUCUUACUUGUCUUAUUUAUUCUCCAACAGCACUCCAGGCAGCCCUUGUCCACGGGCUCUCCUUGCAUCAGCCAAGCUUCUUGAAAGGCCUGUCUACACUUGCUGUCUUCCUUCCUCACCUCCAAUUUCCUCUUCAACCCACUGCUUCCUGACUCGCUCUACUCCGUGGAAGCACGCUCACAAAGGCACGUGGGCCGUGGCCCGGCUGGGUCGGCUGAAGAACUGCGGAUGGAAGCUGCGGAAGAGGCCCUGAUGGGGCCCACCAUCCCGGACCCAAGUCUUCUUCCUGGCGGGCCUCUCGUCUCCUUCCUGGUUUGGGCGGAAGCCAUCACCUGGAUGCCUACGUGGGAAGGGACCUCGAAUGUGGGACCCCAGCCCCUCUCCAGCUCGAAAUCGGCAGACUAGGAUGGAAGUGCCCUGUGAGCUGGGGGGCCCUUCAAAGGGCCAAGGAGAAAACGCAGGCCGAGGGACCAGCCUUCCAAAUGGGCUUCAAGCUCCAAUGACCUCCGCUCGCCCCCUCGAAAUGUCUGGAAAACAUAAUGGGCAGAUUUUCUGUCUUCAAAGUUUCCGGCUAAACCUCUUCAAGUUCUUUAUUGUUUGGGACUGAGACACUCAGCCAUGUUAAUGGGUAGUUUCUUUUGUAUUUGCCUUGAAAGGCCAAAAUAUUUUUAUAUUGCCACAGACAAAGCCACCUAUUUAAAAAUGAACUCCAUGUCCGUCGUUUCCCACCAGGAGACUAUGUACCAUGUGUGUGUCUCUAUGUAUUCUGGGGUCUUGAAACAGGUUUCUCAUGGGGAUGGUCAUUCACCACGGUCCAGAGGGGCAGAACAGGCGGCGCUUGCCUUGCCCAGGGGGCCUGGGGAACGUGGGCCCUCAUCUCAGAUCUGCCCCCAGUAUGUUUAGGACGCGAGCCCCAGAAGGAUCUGGGAGUAAACUUAACAUUCACUGUGUCUCUGCUCUGCAUCCGCCAUUUGUGUGUGUUUCUGGACUGUGGGCUGUGUGUACCUUGGUUGGUGACUCAGUGAGAAGAAGCAGGAAUGCCAAAGAUACUGUGAAUGUUCUGAGUUUUGUUGCUGUUGUUGUUGAGAGGUUGUUUCACUGGUAUCUAUUGCAUUGUAUAAUAAAUGACCAGAUGAAUGAAUGAGUGAAGCAAGAGAGAAUGAAUAAACAAGUAAAUAGGUAAAGAAGUAAGCAAGCCAGGAUGAGAGUGUGUGUACACAAGACCAUGGUUCAUCCGCUUUGAUGGCUAGGCAAUCAAUAUAUAAAUAGAAAAAAACCAGUGAAUCACUAAGUAAUAGGGCAACACACAAAGCGAUAUCAGGUGAUUAUGGACUAAGGGGUAUGUGUAACUCAAAUAUAUGCCUCUGACAUUUGACAAUGAAAAAGAACCUAAAUGAAAGAAAGAAUGGAUGUAUGAGUAGUGAAGUGCAGAAUGAGACAUAGAUUUUGAGGCCCGUCAAAAUGAAAAGAUGCAAGUUAGGGAACAAGUGAUCAAAAGGGAGAAGGGAAAGGUUUUUUUUAAAAAACCAAAACAACAAAGAAAGGUUAAAAAAAAAAACAGACUAGAGGAUGAGUAAUGAGUAACUCUGUAAGGAGGACCAUGUCAGACUAUUGUAAGCUAAGCAUUAGGACUGAUACAAAUAAUAUAUGCUCCUGGCAUAGAAAAAUAAACCACAGAGAACGAGUUCAAAGAAUAGCAAAGAAAGAAAGAGGACCCAGUGGGCGAAAGAUGAGAGUGUACUUUUACCAAAAGUUAUCUAAGCCUGAGCACUUGAAGUCUGCACAUAAAUAAAUAAAUGACAAAAGAAAGAAAAAAAGGCCAAAAA
rnacentral:lncRNA from 1 species